GGGACACGUGGUAUCCUGUCUGAAUAUGGGGGGACCAUCCUCCAAGGCUAAAUACUCCUGACUGACCGAUAGUGAACCAGUACCGUGAGGGAAAGGCGAAAAGAACCCCGGCGAGGGGAGUGAAAAAGAACCUGAAACCGUGUACGUACAAGCAGUGGGAGCACGCUUAGGCGUGUGACUGCGUACCUUUUGUAUAAUGGGUCAGCGACUUAUAUUCUGUAGCAAGGUUAACCGAAUAGGGGAGCCGAAGGGAAACCGAGUCUUAACUGGGCGUUAAGUUGCAGGGUAUAGACCCGAAACCCGGUGAUCUAGCCAUGGGCAGGUUGAAGGUUGGGUAACACUAACUGGAGGACCGAACCGACUAAUGUUGAAAAAUUAGCGGAUGACUUGUGGCUGGGGGUGAAAGGCCAAUCAAACCGGGAGAUAGCUGGUUCUCCCCGAAAGCUAUUUAGGUAGCGCCUCGUGAAUUCAUCUCCGGGGGUAGAGCACUGUUUCGGCAAGGGGGUCAUCCCGACUUACCAACCCGAUGCAAACUGCGAAUACCGGAGAAUGUUAUCACGGGAGACACACGGCGGGUGCUAACGUCCGUCGUGAAGAGGGAAACAACCCAGACCGCCAGCUAAGGUCCCAAAGUCAUGGUUAAGUGGGAAACGAUGUGGGAAGGCCCAGACAGCCAGGAUGUUGGCUUAGAAGCAGCCAUCAUUUAAAGAAAGCGUAAUAGCUCACUGGUCGAGUCGGCCUGCGCGGAAGAUGUAACGGGGCUAAACCAUGCACCGAAGCUGCGGCAGCGACGCUUAUGCGUUGUUGGGUAGGGGAGCGUUCUGUAAGCCUGCGAAGGUGUGCUGUGAGGCAUGCUGGAGGUAUCAGAAGUGCGAAUGCUGACAUAAGUAACGAUAAAGCGGGUGAAAAGCCCGCUCGCCGGAAGACCAAGGGUUCCUGUCCAACGUUAAUCGGGGCAGGGUGAGUCGACCCCUA
rnacentral:rRNA from 1 species